rnacentral:rRNA from 1 species
UUUACCCUGUUGUGGGGGAUAACCAAGGGAAACUUUGGCUAAUACCGCAUGAUCUGGUGACAGCAAAGCGGGGGCUCAGCAAUGACCUCGCGCAAUGGGAUGAGCCGAUGUCUGAUUAGCUAGUUGGUAGGGUAAAGGCCUACCAAGGCGACGAUCAGUAGCUGGUCUGAGAGGAUGAUCAGCCACACUGGGACUGAGACACGGCCCAG